CAAUAGCGUAUAUUAAAGUUGUUGCAGUUAAAAAGCUCGUAGUUGGAUUUGUGGUGUACUUCGGCGGCCCGUCACUAUGUGAUGGAGCUUGCUGAAGUCGCCAUCCUUGGGUGGAUCCUGUGUGGCAUUAAGUUGUCGUGCAGGGGAUGCCCAUCGUUUACUGUGAAAAAAUUAGAGUGUUCAAAGCGGGCUUAUGCCGUUGAAUAUAUUAGCAUGGAAUAAUAAGAUAGGACCUUGGUACUAUUUUGUUGGUUUGCGCACCAAGGUAAUGAUUAAUAGGGACAGUUGGGGGUAUUCGUAUUUCAUUGUCAGAGGUGAAAUUCUUGGAUUUUUGAAAGACGAACUACUGCGAAAGCAUUUACCAAGGAUGUUUUCAUUAA
rnacentral:rRNA from 1 species